UACGAAGGGGCCUAGCGUUGUUCGGAAUUACUGGGCUUAAAGCGCACGCAGGCGGAUUGGUAAGUGUCCUGUGAAAUACCCCGGCUUAACCGGGGAACUGCGGGGCAAACUGCCUUUCUUGAGGCAAGUAGGGGUGUGUGGAACUCUGGGUGGAGCGGUGAAAUGCGUAGAUAUCCAGAGGAACGCCGGCGGAGAAAUCGACACACUGGGCUUGUUCUGACGCUGAGGUGCGAAAGCGUGGGUAGCGAACGGG
rnacentral:rRNA from 1 species